CAAGCGUAAGGCAUAACAACGUGCGUGGAAUAACAGCAUACAUUAAAAAAUAAUCUAAAAAAACAUCUUCAGAGCACGUUGCGGUGCACAAAAAGCUGAACAGAACCUCUCAAGUCCUCCCAAAGUCUAAUCACUGUAAAUGAAAACACCUGUGGCCGGACAGCUGGUGCGUGAAAAAUAUGCAAUAAUCUAAACACGAAGCACGAAUGGGAGGAAAGUUUUCUGCACGGGUGCCAAGUCACAGCGUCGUUUGAGCAGAAGUGACUGACAAAAAGUGAAGGUGAAAUGAAGACAACAUGACUGACUCCAGCAGGUCUGUCACACUGUCCCAGUAUCAGCAGGUACAGAAUGAGCCCUUAAUAUCGCUUUCUACAGUAGCCCAGAAGGGACAAACCAACCACUGGCCCCAGAAAGCUCCUGUUGCGUUGGGUGAGGCAAAGGAAUCUCGUUUAGAUGCCAAAGAAGUCACACACCUUUAGGCAAGAAAUCGGCAGCUUUCCUUCUUCGCGCUACGCUAAGAGAAGCUAAACAAGUGCCGGACCGAACCGUCUCCACACUGGACAGAGACCGAUGAUGCAACGUGAUGUCAGCCUUCUCGUCUGGCUUGCAGACUAAAAGCUGCGAGCUGACACGUGUUGGAGUUUUUUAAAUAUGUUUCCAGCCCGAUGAAAUAAAGGCCUUUUAUAUUUGUUCAACCACUGUGAGACCGGGAUCACUUAUGCCAUUUUUCUCUCUUGGCCAUUAGUCUUCCUUUCUGUUUUUUUAACAGAUCGCUGCUGUUGGCCAAUCACUGCUCUCACUCAUUAAUAUUAAAAAGACCGGCUGAAAUAACA